rnacentral:rRNA from 1 species
UACGGAGGGUGCGAGCGUUAAUCGGAAUUACUGGGCGUAAAGCGUGCGCAGGCGGGCUUUUAAGCCAGACGUGAAAUCCCCGGGCUCAACCUGGGAAUGGCGUUUGGGACUGGGAGUCUGGAGUGCGGCAGAGGGGACUGGAAUUCCUGGUGUAGCAGUGAAAUGCGUAGAGAUCAGGAGGAACACCGAUGGCGAAGGCAGGUCCCUGGGUUGACACUGACGCUCAUGCAAGAAAGCGUGGGGAGCAAACAGG